rnacentral:rRNA from 1 species
UGAGUAACCUGCCCUUAACUCUGGGAUAAGCCUGGGAAACUGGGUCUAAUACCGGAUAUGACUCCUCAUCGCAUGGUGGGGGGUGGAAAGCUUUAUUGUGGUUUGGAUGGACUCGCGGCCUAUCAGCUUGUUGGUGAGGUAAUGGCUCACCAAGGCGACGACGGGUAGCCGGCCUGAGAGGGUGACCGGCCACACUGGGACUGAGACACGGCCCAGACCUCCCGUACGGGGAGGCAG